UUUCCGUAGGUGAACCUGCGGAAGGGUCAUUAAAGAGAAUAUGCCCUUCGGGGUAGAUCUCCCACCCUUUGUUUAUAUUACCUUUGUUGCUUUGGCAGGCCCGUCUUCGGACCACCGGCUUCGGCUGGUCAGUGCUUGCCAGAGGACCCAAAACUCUUAUUAUUAAUGUCGUCUGAGUACUAUAUAAUAGUUAAGACUUUCAACAACGGAUCUCUUGGUUCUG
rnacentral:misc_RNA from 1 species